rnacentral:rRNA from 1 species
CCUACGGGGGGCAGCAGUCGAGAAUCAUUCACAAUGGGGGAAACCCUGAUGGUGCGACGCCGCGUGGGGGAAUGAAGGUCUUCGGAUUGUAAACCCCUGUCAUGUGGGAGCAAAUUAAAAAGAUAGUACCACAAGAGGAAGAGACGGCUAACUCUGUGCCAGCAGCCGCGGUAAUACAGAGGUCUCAAGCGUUGUUCGGAAUCACUGGGCGUAAAGCGUGCGUAGGCUGUUUCGUAAGUCGUGUGUGAAAGGCGCGGGCUCAACCGGCGGACGGCACAUGAUACUGCGAGACUAGAGUAAGGGAGGGGGAACCGGAAUUCUCGGUGUAGCAGUGAAAUGCGUAGAUAUCGAGAGGAACACUCGUGGCGAAGGCGGGUUCCUGGACAUUAACUGACGCUGAGGCACGAAGGCCAGGGGAGCGAAAGGGAUUAGAUACCCGAGUAGUC